UUAUCACGUGUUUCAGAUUCCUCAUUUCCCCACCAACAAUCCUCACUAUAUACAGAGGACAGAUAAAAAAUCCCCAUCUAAAUGUUGCAGCAUUGUGGUGUCUCUUCACAGGGAACUGGGCUCUAGGUUGGGUUUGUUUCUCAGACAUUCUUCUUAAGGAGGUGUAUGGUGUUGAGUCACAGCCUGAACCACUGAUUGAUCACCUGAGGCAAGCACUGAGUCAGCUGUGGGAGCACAAGUGAAGGCAAUUCAGCUGUGUGACUGGAAGGGAUGGAGCCUGGCUGCACCUCUCUUAGACCUCAUUUAAGGGCUGACUGCGCCUGGGGAAGGAUCUCUUUCUGGAGCUCACUUCUCUGUGUAGUUUUUUUCUGCAAGCCUAGAUCUUUGGAUAAAGCAGCAGGAGGUACCUGUUUCUGCAAGCCCUGGACAUUCCUCAUUCACAGUGGCAGCAAAAUUGAUAUCCAGCUGCUUCAUCAUCUUGUCUGCAGAUGUGUGAUAGACUCCUGAAGGACCAGUACACUUCAUCCAGAAAGCCAGCAGUGACAGCUUCUUGUGGAAUUCGGGGAUUGCUGAAGGAGAAGACAAAAUGAAUGAUGAAGCAAAGCUGUGCUCAGUGCACUCUCUUUCUAAAGGGAAAUGUGGAAGAUGUGAGGAAAAUCUGCUUCUGAUCCAGUUCUGGACACUGUCUCAUCUCUUUUAAAUACCAUGAAUUACUAGGGGAAAUAAAUGGUCUGCAUGAGACUGGUCCCUAUCCAAGCACUGCUCUGUAGCCUUGGGUAAGUUGCUCCAUUUGGGACACACUGUCUGAGGAGUUGUCUUACGACUCCUGUAGCAUAAGGCAGAUCUUGAAUUUCCUCGGGAAAGAGGUGGAGGACAAAUUUGGCUGCCAAAGUGGCAGCAUCCCCACCCUGUUGCUGCAGCUACCCCUGCUCACCUUCUGCAUGUCAACCAGGAUAAGGAUCAGUACAACCCCUUCUCACCUGCUUAUUUCUGAAUAGGAGUACAUAAGACAGAAUAAGGUGAGGCUGGAGAAGGCCUGGGCAACAUGAUCUAGCUGUGAUGUCCUUGUCUAUUGCAGGGGAACUGGACUAGACAGCCCUCAGAGAUCCCUUCUAACUCUAAGGAUUCUAUGAAUAAGGUCCCUGACCAGCUUCAGUGACUGCUACAUCUGUUUGUGAGUUGUCUCCUGCUAUGGUGCACUCCCUGCAGUUAAUUACAGUGGUUAUUUCAGCAAGCCUCCUGCCC